AUUGAACGCUGGCGGAAUGCUUUACACAUGCAAGUCGAACGGCAGCACGGGGCAACCUGGUGGCGAGUGGCGAACGGGUGAGUAAUACAUCGGAACGUGCCCAAUCGUGGGGGAUAACGUAGCGAAAGUUACGCUAAUACCGCAUACGAUCUACGGAUGAAAGCGGGGGAUCGCAAGACCUCGCGCGAUUGGAGCGGCCGAUAUCAGAUUAGCUAGUUGGUGGGGUAAAAGCUCACCAAGGCGACGAUCCUGUAGCUGGUCUGAGAGGACGACCAGCCACACCUGGAACUGAGACACGGUCCAGACUCCUACGGGAGGCAGCAGUGGGGAAUUUUGGACAAUGGGCGCAAGCCUGAUCCAGCAAUGCCGCGUGCAGGGAUGAAGGCCUUCGGGUUGUAAACUGCCUUUGUUACGGAACGAAACGGUGAGCUCUAAUAAAGACUUGCUAAUGACGGUACCGUAAGAAUAAGCACCGGCUAACUAACGUGCCAGCAGACC
rnacentral:rRNA from 1 species